GCCAGCAAGUAGAGGAAGCGCAGCCAUCUUUGAUCUUCGGCCCGGAACACCAGUGCGCCAGGAUACCAAAUCUGCUUGUGCUGUGCGGUUUUGACGAGUCCUAUCGCGAGUGUGUGAAGUGUUGUGUCGGGGUGGUGACGCUCCGAGCAACGGAAUUCGGGACCCGGGACCAGUCAACGUGAUGCAGCCCGUGGCCGAGAUAGAGGUGGUCGUGGUGGCGGUCGAAGUGUCCGGACGCGCAUGGUGGUAGUCGCCACCAAGCCCGGCCUUCGGCCUCUAAAUCACUUCAAUCAAUGCCUAUUGAAGAGUUGCCACCCGGCCAACCAUAGGAGAACCCACGGCACCCUAAGAGGGUAAGGGUGCUCCCUCCUAAGGUCACGAAACACCAAAGAUCGGAAUUGUGGAGAUCGGACCUUCCGACUUCGGACAUGGAUGUUUCGGUGCCAUAUACUUAGAAUGUGGGCCUGGGAAUAGCCGGGCCAGCACCCCGGCCACGGAGCGGACCGGCACUAGCGGGGCCAGCACCCCGGCCACCGAGCGGCCUGUUUAAUAUUCCUUCGUCCUCUCGACCUCUCGUCCUCUUCGCGAAGACGAAAUUACAGCACUGCUGAAUUACGGCUGCGAAGAAGACUGAGGGAGAGGACGAAGAUAUUGUGCAGCCGCCGCUGGUGCCCCGGUCGACCAGGAUGUGGCUGGAUGAAGAGGAUGAGGAAGUUGAAACAGAAGCGGAGAGGCUUAAUAUUAAUUUGGAGUGGCCUCAACCUCUUCGUCCAUCCACGUCUGCCCCAAUGGACGCCUCACCGACGCCAACAUUCGAACCUAAUAAUAAAUUGAAAUUCGAAUGGAGAAAUGUGUUGAUGCCUCAAAUAGAACCUCAUUUAAGAAUAGAACCUUUCUCCGAAAUCAGUGCUCCAACGGUUUCUUUCGCGACUCCAUACGAAUCAUUUAUUGCCAUAUGGGGUCGUGAAAUUAUGGAAGUGAUAGUCACGGAAAGCAACAUUUACGCACAGCAUUUUGAAGUCGUCGUGGCCAAAGAGAUAAGACGUCCGGUGCAUUCGUGUUGAGCGAUGCACCGGUGUUCGAAUCCCGCAGGCGGGUACCAAUUUUACUAAUGAAUUACAUACUCAACAAAUGUUCACGAUUGACUUCCACGGUGAAGGAAUAACAUCGUGUAAUAAAAGUGAAACCCGCAAAAUUAUAAUUUGCGUAAUUACUGGUGGUAGGACUUCUUGUGAGUCCGCACGGGUAGGUACCACCGCCCUGCCUAUUUCUGCCGUGAAGCAGUGAUGCGUUUCGGUUUGAAGGGUGGGGCAGCCGUUGUAACUAUAGUGAGAUCUUAGAACUUAUAUCUCAAGGUGAGUGGCGCAUUUACAUUGUAGAUGUCCAUGGGCUCCAGUAACCACUUAACACCAGGUGGACUGUGAGCUCGUCGACCCACCUAAGCAAUAAAAAAAAAAUUGAACAGCUUUAACCACUUAUCUCUUGGUUUUAAAUUUUAAGUUUCAAGAUUGGCAUAUUAUGCAGCAACUAAUUUCGGUAUUUCAUACCUAAUCUGUGCUUUGAAGACUGGGGCAGACAAUUGUAUUUUGAAUUCCGACCUCAUGUCUCAAAGUGGGUGGCAGUACGUGCUCCAGUAUACCAUCUAGGUACGCUAUAAAUAGCACAUUUUUUUAUUUGCUUAAUUGGGUGGACGAGCUCACAGCCCACCUGGUGUUAAGUGGUUACUGGAGCCCAUAGACAUCUACAACGUAAAUGCGCCACCAACCUUGAGAUAUAAGUUCUAAGGUGUGAGUAUAGUUACAACGGCUGCUCCACCCUUCAAGACGAAACGCAUUACUGCUUCACCGUAGAAAUAGGCAGGGUGGUGGUACCUACCCGUGCGGACUCACAAGAGGUCCUACCACCAGUAAAGCACAUUCUUGUUUUGUCUCUUAUAUUCUAUUUUAUAAACAUUUGGAACUGUUAUGGUGUGAACGAUGAAUAAAUAGGUAAUGAGUAGAAAACAUUUCUUUUAUUAUUUAUUCGUUUAUUUUUUUCACAGUUUCCAUUAAUACUGAAAGCGGUAUCAACAUUUACAAUGUAUUACAUACGUACUUAAAUAUUAGAAUUAAAAUUUUAUUGUUGUCCAUAAUCCACAAUAUUUAAACAACAAA